AUGCUCAGAAGGGAGAGCAGGAAGAAAGGCAGGUCCUUGGUUCUCACAAUCCACCACUCACCACUUGCUGACUCUUUUGUUGUCCAACUGGUUAAAUCCACACUCAAGAUGAAGGUCCUCAUUCUACAACAAGUCCUUAUCACUCAGCUACAUGCAAGUAGUCGUCACUUCCCAGGAGACUGGCUCAGUUUCUUGUUGUAUCUGCUGGUGAGAAACCCCAAUGCAGGGAUUAGCAGACAAAGCGAGACACAAGUGAUAUGUUCAAGAUGUACCAGAGGCCACCAAGGAAGGAAGGAAAGAACGAACGAAUGAAUGAACAAACGAAGGAGAGAAGGAAAAAAGAGAGAGGGGGAAGGAAGGAAUAAAGGAGAAAUGAAGGGAAAGACA
rnacentral:lncRNA from 1 species